rnacentral:rRNA from 1 species
UACGUAGGGUGCAAGCGUUAAUCGGAAUUACUGGGCGUAAAGCGUGCGUAGGUGGUUUGUUAAGUCUGUUGUGAAAGCCCCGGGCUCAACCUGGGAAUGGCAAUGGAUACUGGCAGGCUAGAGUGCGGUAGAGGGUAGUGGAAUUCCCGGUGUAGCGGUGAAAUGCGCAGGAUAUCAGGAGGAACACCGGUGGCGAAGGCGGCUCUCUGGCCCGCAACUGACGCUGAGGCGCGAAAGCGUGGGGAGCAAACAGG